AGUGAACGCUGGCGGUAGGCCUAACACAUGCAAGUCGAACGGCAGCACAGGAGAGCUUGCUCUCUGGGUGGCGAGUGGCGGACGGGUGAGGAAUACAUCGGAAUCUACUUUUUCGUGGGGGAUAACGUAGGGAAACUUACGCUAAUACCGCAUACGACCUACGGGUGAAAGCAGGGGAUCUUCGGACCUUGCGCGAUUGAAUGAGCCGAUGUCGGAUUAGCUAGUUGGCGGGGUAAAGGCCCACCAAGGCGACGAUCCGUAGCUGGUCUGAGAGGAUGGUCAGCCACACUGGAACUGAGACACGGUCCAGACUCCUACGGGAGGCAGCAGUGGGGAAUAUUGGACAAUGGGCGCAAGCCUGAUCCAGCCAUACCGCGUGGGUGAAGAAGGCCUUCGGGUUGCAAAGCCCUUUUGUUGGGAAAGAAAUCCAGCUGGCUAAUACCCGGUUGGGAUGACGGUACCCAAAGAAUAAGCACCGGCUAACUUCGUGCCAGCCGCCGCAGUAA
rnacentral:rRNA from 1 species